GGCUCAGAACGAACGCUGGCGGCGUGCUUAACACAUGCAAGUCGAACGCGAAAGGGGACUUCGGUCCUGAGUAAAGUGGCGCACGGGUGAGUAACGCGUAGAUAACCUGUCUUCAUGUCUGGAAUAAUACGCCAAAGGGGUACUAAUACCGGAUAUUCUUGCUUUUCAUAAGUUAUGCAAGCAAAGGUGGCCUCUGCAUAUGCUACUGCAUGAAGAGGGGUCUGCGUACCAUUAGCUAGUAGGUGGGGUAAUGGCCUACCUAGGCGACGAUGGUUAGCGGGUCUGAGAGGAUGAUCCGCCACACUGGCACUGGAACACGGGCCAGACUCCUACGGGAGGCAGCAGUGAGGAAUAUUGCGCAAUGGGGGAAACCCUGACGCAGCGACGCCGCGUGAAGUGAGGAAGGCCUUCGGGUCGUAAAGCUCUGUCAAGAGGAAAGAAGUGUACAAUGGCUAAUACCUGUUGUAUUUGACGGUACCUCUAAAGGAAGCACCGGCUAACUCCGUGCCAGCCGCCGC
rnacentral:rRNA from 1 species